rnacentral:rRNA from 1 species
GACGAACGCUGGCGGCGUGCUUAACACAUGCAAGUCGAACGGAAAGGCCCUGCUUUUGUGGGGUGCUCGAGUGGCGAACGGGUGAGUAACACGUGAGUAACCUGCCCUUGACUUUGGGAUAACUUCAGGAAACUGGGGCUAAUACCGUAUAGGAGCUCCUGCUGCAUGGUGGGGGUUGGAAAGUUUCGGCGGUUGGGGAUGGACUCGCGGCUUAUCAGCUUGUUGGUGGGGUAGUGGCUUACCAAGGCUUUGACGGGUAGCCGGCCUGAGAGGGUGACCGGCCACAUUGGGACUGAGGGACGGCCCAGACUCCUACGGGAGGCAGCAGUGGGGAAUAUUGCACAAUGGGCGGAAGCCUGAUGCAGCAACGCCGCGUGCGGGAUGACGGCCUUCGGGUUGUAAACCGCUUUCGCCUGUGACGAAGCGUGAGUGACGGUAAUGGGUAAAGAAGCACCGGCUAACUACGUG